rnacentral:SRP_RNA from 1 species
GGAAUGUGCGCUGUAUGCACGGGCCCAUCGCAGCAUGCCGAGGCCGUAUCCACGCGGAGGCAACUGUGUGUGUCGGUCGUUCCCUGACGGGGGCGGUCUCUGCACUUGAAGUAACCCACAACGGUUCAGGCUGUAACCAGAGCAGACUUAGGGUUCGCAGCUGUCGGCCG